CACCCGGUAGCACACGGUGUGCAUCUGUAUACGAUGAGAAACUCGAGGCUAAUUAUGCAGAAGGCCCCCGUUCGAUUCGGGGCUGGGUGA